AUUGAACGCUGGCGGCAGGCCUAACACAUGCAAGUCGAGCGAGCGGCGGGCGGGUGAGUAAAAAGUAUCGGACCUGCCCUUUACUCGGGGAUAGCCUUUCGAAAGAAAGAUUAAUACCCGAUAUAAAGGAUGGGGAUGCGUUCGAUUAGGUUGUUGGUGAGGUAACGGCCCACCAAGCCUUCGAUGGCUAGGGGUUCUGAGAGGAAGGUCCCCCAGAUUGGAACUGAGACCCGGACCAAAAUCCUACGGGAGGCAGCAGUGAGGAAUAUUGGUCAAUGGGCGGUAACCUGAACCAGCCAAGUAGCGUGAAAGAUGAAUGCUUAUGGGUCGUAAACUUCUUUUAUAUAAGAAUAUGUAUUAUAUGAAUAAGGAUCGGCUAACUCCGUGCCAGCAGCCGCGGUAAUUC
rnacentral:rRNA from 1 species